AGAGUUUGAUCCUGGCUCAGAUUGAACGCUGGCGGCAUGCCUUACACAUGCAAGUCGAACGGCAGCACGGGUGCUUGCACCUGGUGGCGAGUGGCGAACGGGUGAGUAAUAUAUCGGAACGUACCUUAUCGUGGGGGAUAACGCAGCGAAAGCUGCGCUAAUACCGCAUACGCCCUGAGGGGGAAAGCGGGGGACCGUAAGGCCUCGCGCGAUUAGAGCGGCCGAUAUCUGAUUAGCUUGUUGGUGGGGUAAAAGCCCACCAAGGCGACGAUCAGUAGCUGGUCUGAGAGGACGAUCAGCCACACUGGGACUGAGACACGGCCCAGACUCCUACGGGAGGCAGCAGUGGGGAAUUUUGGACAAUGGGGGCAACCCUGAUCCAGCAAUGCCGCGUGAGUGAAGAAGGCCUUCGGGUUGUAAAGCUCUUUUGUCAGGGAAGAAACAGCAGCUCUAACACAGUCUGCGAAUGACGGUACCUGAAGAAUAAGCACCGGCUAACUACGUGCCAGCAGCCGCGGUAAUACGUAGGGUGCAAGCGUUAAUCGGAAUUACUGGGCGUANAGCGUGCGCAGGCGGUUAUACAAGACAGGCGUG
rnacentral:rRNA from 1 species